rnacentral:rRNA from 1 species
UUGUCCUACGGGACGCAGCAGUGGGGAAUAUUGCACAAUGGGGGAAACCCUGAUGCAGCGAUGCCGCGUGGAGGAAGAAGGUUUUCGGGUUGUAAAUUCCUUUUAUCAGGGACGAUAAUGACGGUACCUGAAGAAAAAGCUCCGGCUAACUACGUGCCAGCAGCCGCGGUAAUACGUAGGGAGCGAGCGUUGUCCGGAAUUACUGGGCGUAAAGGGAGCGUAGGCGGGACGGCAAGUCAGAU